CUUUUUGGUGACAAAAAUUGGAGUAUUCCAGGGACUUGUAGAAAGUCGCAAAUGUCCUUGAUUAAAUUGCUCUUGAAUCAGAAUAUGUGCUUGUUCAAGAUUUUCCCGCUUUAGAGGCCAUUGCUCAACCCGAACCAGAUGUUCUGUUUUCCACCGGAUAGGGAUGGGGAAAGUCUAAGCAAUGGCCACUCCUAUAAAUUUGAAUCUGUGGUAAGAACCAUGCCCAUUUGAGCGAGUAUGUCUCGUCCUACUAGAGCAGCGACACCAAGUGGCAGUGGCAUGAUGGACACACUGCAGUUUAUCACUUGCUCAGCUAUAGUCCAUUGCAAUGCUGGCACCGAGAGCUGCGGGAACAGUUCCCCAGAGCCCGAGGAGCCUGGGUUGGUGCUCCCUGGUGCCUUUCGUUCAAAUCCUGCCCUGGCACAGCCUCCCCGAGCCCUGCCCUCCACGCUUCUCCAGAGGCACUGACACCGAGUGCUGUGCUGUGGCCAGAGAGCAGUGAAUAAACCUGACCUGUGGGAAUUGUGUCACCAACCCGGGUGUCCCAGUUUUGUGCUGAAGUCUGUGGAUGAAUUUGCCGCAUAGGGUGGAGGCCGGGCUGAGAGACUCUUGAAGGAACAGGGGAAAGAAAGGGCAAAAAGUCAGGCUAGGAGUCCAAACGUUUGGUCUCAAAUCACUGACUGAAGGUAGUACCAGUCUGCUGGUAUCUAUCCUGAGACACAAGAAAAACAAGGAGCUGAACAUCAGAGGCCAACCCACUGAAAAAUCAAAAAUCCAGUCACAAAAGGAAAAGCCUGAAUGACCCCAGAUCAGCAGGACCUAAGAGGAGAGAGGGAGCACUUUGGAUCCAUUCCUUAGCCAAGCUGGUGCAGCCUGCAGGCCUCGUGGGGAGCUCUUUCCCUCCCAGCUCUUCCUGCCAGAGCUGAUGGUGGAGUUGGAGCCGCUGUUGCUCACUGCAGAGGGCAGGUCCCAGGUAAUGGAGCUGGUUCAUAGCUCACAGCACCCGUCAGCUUCAGCCAUUUCAGUGAGGACUGAGGUGUCUCUGUCAGCACAGAGGAGGAACAAGGCUGGGCUUCUGUGUGGGAGCUGGGACUGUCUGUGCUUCAAGCUCUCAUGGGUGCCAUUUGCACUGUGGGUGCUGAGACUUUAUCAGGAUACUUGAGACCUUUGGAGGUUUUGAAAACUUGGAAUGCUCCCUGCUCUUUAAAGAGCAGCCUUCAAAUUCUGAAGUUAAUUCUCUAGUGAUGGCCCUUUCAGGCCAUCUUUUACAGUCCCUGAUAGAAGGACCAUUGCUGCCCAGUGGAAACCACAAGGGCCAAUAUUGACUCAGUGUUCCCUUUGCUUCCCAGAUUCCAUCUGAUUGACAUUUCCAGGAGGGCUCUCCUGCAUGGGAGGAAGAGACAGAGGGAGAGCCUGUGACCAUCAGGCAGGUGCAAUCCCUCUGUCUCUAGUUGCAUUUUUAGAUGUGUAGUUACAUUUGUGUAUCUAUGUAGUUAUAUUUAUAGAUUUAUGUAGCUGUAUUUAAAUGUCUAUAUAGUUGUAGUUACAGGUCUGAGUAGUUAAAUAUAUAUGUGUAGUUGUAGAUGUAUAUAGUUAUUUUUUUAUAUAUGUAGUUGCAUUUAUAGAUGUGCAGUUAUAUUUAUAUAUGUAUAUAGUUAUAAAUGGGCAUAGUUAUAUUUAUAUAGCUAUAGGGAUAUGGAGCUUUAGAUAGAUAGGUUGAUAUUUGAAUAAAUAUAGGCUGCUUUUUAAGCUCUUUCUCUGCUUCCUCUCUCACCUCUUGCUUUUGCCCCUGUGCCCCCUCUGUCCCCUCUUCCUGUGCUGGCUCCGAGCUGGCGGCCGGGCCGGGCGGAGCAGCAGCUGCAGCCCCGGUGUCCCUGGAGCGGUGGGAGCUGCCGGUGGCCGCAGGCACUGUGCCCUGAGGAGCUGCUGGAGGACGCUGCCCUGAAGACCUUGAGAAGAGCCGGAGAGUGACGGGAGCCAGCAAGGAGAAGCUGAAGGCCGCCAGCAAGAGCAGUGAACGGAGACCUGCUGCUGCCGCCCGAGACCCUGGCUGAGGCCCCAGGGCCGGUGAGGCAGGGUGUCCCAUCUGCUGUCGCUGUCCAGGAGAGCUGCUCUGCACGGGAGGAAGAGACCGAGGGAGAGCCUGGGAACAUCGGCGCCUGCAAUCCCUCCCGAUCUAGUUCUAGUUCUAGAUGUUUACAGUUGGACUAGGAGAGCUAGAAGUAUAUGGAUAUUUACAUAUGUAACCUGAUAUUUGUAUAGGUGUAUAUGUAUGUAUGUUGUUAUAUUACAUCUGUAGUCAUAUUUUCAUACUUGUUCAGUUGUGCAGCUGUAUAGUUCUGUUGCUCGGCCUGUAUGGAUUUUUUAUUGGUCCAUUGAUAGUUGUAUGUUUAUAGAUAGGUUUGUUAUGUAUGGAAUGUAUUUUUCAUGUUAGAUGUCAUGAUAUAUGUAAUACAUAAUUAAAUCUGUAUAUUGUUAUGGUUAUAUCUGUGUUUACUUGUAUUUUUAUAUAUAUAUGGAGUUGUAUAGUUCCAUAAUUUUAUUUAUUCUGGAUCUGGGAUUCUUUAGGGAGGGAUAUCAAUAGUUCCGUAUUCGUAUAUGGGCUGUACAGUUAUAGUAAUAUGUAAUAAAUUACAUUGUUAAACUUCAUAUUUGUGUAUAGUGAGUGGUUGUAGAGGUUUGCAAGAAAUUAACGUUUUUAACUGAAGUUGAUCUCUGUAUAUAUUUACAUAGCACGAUUGUAACAAUAAAUUAGUUUUCUAAACUUCAACUGAUACUUGUAUGUUGAUAGAUUGGCAGCGUGGGUGUAUCAAUUUAAAAUAAAUGUCAUUUUUAAAC